GGCAAAGUUCUGGAGAAUCCUUGGACCCUCUCCAACUGUCACACUGCCCUGGACUUCAGGAGCCACCCAUGGAGACGUGGAUAGUAGAUGCUGGGGCCAGCUCUUAUCUUGACAUGUGCUAGGAUGGCUGGCAUGCAUCACUAUGCCAGGUUUUGUACAGUGCUGGGAAUGAGACCCAGGGCUCAAUCAUGUCAGGACAUCAGUCACCUGUUUGAGAAGCCUCUGGACCACCUUUGGAGAAAUGUGCUUUUGAGCCAGCAGACACCUUGCUGAGAUUGUCCAUUUGUAAUGAUCAUCAUUAAAGUCGAUGUCAUUAAAAUCA